rnacentral:rRNA from 1 species
ACGGCUCAGUAACACGUCGGUAACCUACCCUCGGGAGGGGGAUAACCCCGGGAAACUGGGGCUAAUUCCCCAUAGGCCUGGGGUACUGGAAGGUCCUCAGGCCGAAAGGGACUUAUGUCCGCCCGAGGAUGGGCCGGCGGCCGAUUAGGUAGUUGGUGGGGUAAUGGCCCACCAAGCCGAAGAUCGGUACGGGCUGUGAGAGCUGGAGCCCGGAGAUGGACACUGAGACACGGGUCCAGGCCCUACGGGGCGCAGCAGGCGCGAAACCUCCGCAAUGCGGGAAACCGCGACGGGGGGACCCCGAGUGCCGUGGCAACGCCACGGCUUUUCCGGAGUGUAAAAAGCUCCGGGAAUAAGGGCUGGGCAAGGCCGGUGGCAGCCGCCGCGGUAAUACCGGCGGCCCGAGUGGUGGCCGCUAUUAUUGGGCCUAAAGCGUCCGUAGCCGGGCCCGUAAGUCCCUGGCGAAAUCCCACGGCUCAACCGUGGGGCUUGCUGGGGAUACUGCGGGUCUUGGGACCGGGAGAGGCGGGGGGUACCCCUGGGGUAGGGGUGAAAUCCUAUAAUCCCAGGGGGACCGCCAGUGGCGAAGGCGCCCCGCUGGAACGGGUCCGACGGUGAGGGACGAAGGCCAGGGGAGCAAACCGGAUUAGAUACCCGGGUAGUCCUGGCUGUAAAGGAUGCGGGCUAGGUGUCGGGUGAGCCUCGAGCUCGCCCGGUGCCGUAGGGAAGCCGUUAAGUCCGCCGCCUGGGGAGUACGGCCGCAAGGCUGAAACUUAAAGGAAUUGGCGGGGGAG